UGCGCAGUGCGCACCUGUUAGUAACUGGUGCCCACCUGUUAGUUGUCUGUUUUUUUUGUUGAUUUUUUUUUUACUUGUCCUGUCCAACAGCUGGGCAGACAGAUGAUAGCUGAAGGCCUCUUGUGUUAGACAUAUUUCACUUUUACUUUAUUUGAAUUUUUCUUCCUCCUUCAAUAUUUUUUAGGGGCUCUGUAACAUCAUUUUUUUGUUUGCAUUGUCCAGGUGUGUGAAAAUCAGAGGCAGGAGCUGCAGCUUCUACGUCUGAACCAGGGAAGAGCUCACGAAGCUCUGAGGCAGAAGACCAGUGAGAGCCUCGGGGAGCCGACGUGUAAAUGUGUAAACCAUCAGUCGCCUUCAUCGCUGGGAGUGAAAACGCCUCCACCUGGGCAGGAUCCUCCUUACCUGACACAGGGAGGAGGUCAUCUGUCCAGAUCUUCUCUGCAGCGGCUGAUGGACGAACUCCUGGUUUCUUCGGAAAAAACCGACUCCGCUGGUGAUGGGGGAACCGCUCAACCACGUCACCUGGAAGGGUUUCCGUGGCGUCAGCAGCAGCCAAACGCCUCCCGGGUCCAGGCGAGUCCAACUCCACCCGAAGCCUGCCCUCGUCCCAGUUCGGUGCCGUGGACGCCGUGA
rnacentral:lncRNA from 1 species